CGGAAGUGCUUUUGUGUUUCUGCGGGCCUACUCCGCCUUUUCAAACCUCCAGUUUGUCGCGUCAGAUGGCCGCUCACACAGAGCCAGAUCGCCCCGGAUGUUCUGGAAGAGGAGUUGGAAUCCACUCCGCCGCCUCAUGCUCAGGAUGAACAUACAAGCCUGGGAUUGCUGCAAAGAGCGGAGCCAGAGUCUGUUUUCCAUAAUCAGGUCAGACACAAACACCCACAUCACAGCGCUCCUGCCCCCAACAUCCAACUCAGCACGCUUCAGGUGGAGCUCGGCGUGGAGGUCUGCUCACUGAAUUAAGCGACGACAGACGUAACCCAGCUCUACGUUGACUUUCCAGAGGUGCUUACUUCACCUUUGUGGCCGCGCUUCCGAGUUCUAUUCAGAGGUUC